rnacentral:rRNA from 1 species
UACGUAGGGGGCAAGCGUUGUCCGGAUUUACUGGGCGUAAAGAGCGCGUAGGCGGAAGCUUAAGCGGUGCCUGAAAGCCCCCGGCUCAACCGGGGAGGGUGGUGCCGAACUGGGCUUCUUGAGGGCGAUAGAGGAGAGUGGAAUUCCGGGUGUAGCGGUGAAAUGCGUAGAGAUCCGGAGGAACACCAGUGGCGCAGGCGGCUCUCUGGGACGGUACUGACGCUGAGACGCGAAGGCGUGGGGAGCGAACAGG